GACGAACGCUGGCGGCGUGCUUAACACAUGCAAGUCGAACGGAAAGGCCCUGCUUUUGUGGGGUGCUCGAGUGGCGAAGGGGGGAGUAACACGUGAGUAAACUGCCCUUGACUUUGGGAUAACUUCAGGAAACUGGGGCUAAUACCGGAUAGGAGCUCCUGCUGCAUGGUGGGGGUUGGAAAGUUUCGGCGGUUGGGGAUGGACUCGCGGCUUAUCAGCUUGUUGGUGGGGUAGUGGCUUACCAAGUCUUUGACGGGUAGCCGGCCUGAGAGGGUGACCGGCCACAUUGGGACUGAGAUACGGCCCAGACUCCUACGGGAGGCAGCAGUGGGGAAUAUUGCACAAUGGGCGGAAGCCUGAUGCAGCAACGCCGCGUGCGGGAUGACGGCCUUCGGGUUGUAAACCGCUUUCGCCUGUGACGAAGCGUGAGUGACGGUAAUGGGUAAAGAAGCACCGGCUAACUACGUG
rnacentral:rRNA from 1 species